CCUACGGGAGGCAGCAGUGGGGAAUAUUGCACAAUGGGGGAAACCCUGAUGCAGCGACGCCGCGUGAGUGAAGAAGUAAUUCGUUAUGUAAAGCUCUAUCAGCAGGGAAGAAAAUGACGGUACCUGAGUAAGAAGCCCCGGCUAACUACGUGCCAGCAGCCGCGGUAAUACGUAGGGGGCAAGCGUUAUCCGGAUUUACUGGGUGGAAAGGGAGCGUAGACGGCAGUGCAAGUCUGGAGUGAAAGGCGGGGGCUCAACCCCCGGACUGCUCUGGAAACUGUACGGCUGGAGUGCAGGAGAGGUGAGUAGAAUUCCUAGUGUAGCGGUGAAAUGCGUAGAUAUUAGGAGGAACACCAGUGGCGAAGGCGGCUUACUGGACUGUAACUGACGUUGAGGCUCGAAAGCGUGGGGAGCAAACAGGAUUAGAUACCCGAGUAGUC
rnacentral:rRNA from 1 species